rnacentral:rRNA from 1 species
UACGUAGGGUGCAAGCGUUAAUCGGAAUUACUGGGCGUAAAGCGUGCGCAGGCGGUUUUGUAAGUCUGACGUGAAAUCCCCGGGCUCAACCUGGGAAUUGCAUUUGUGACUGCAAGGCUAGAGUACGGCAGAGGGGGAUGGAAUUCCGCGUGUAGCAGUGAAAUGCGUAGAUAUGCGGAGGAACACCAAUGGCGAAGGCAAUCCCCUGGGCCUGUACUGACGCUCAUGCACGAAAGCGUGGGGAGCAAACAGG